AACGAACGCUGGCGGCAUGCCUAACACAUGCAAGUCGAACGAGACCUUCGGGUCUAGUGGCGCACGGGUGCGUAACGCGUGGGAACCUGCCCUUAGGUUCGGAAUAACUCCCCGAAAGGGGUGCUAAUACCGGAUAAUGUCUUCGGAUCAAAGAUUGAUCGCCUUUGGAUGGGCCCGCGUUGGAUUAGCUAGUUGGUAGGGUAAAAGCCUACCAAGGCGACGAUCCAUAGCUGGUCUGAGAGGAUGAUCAGCCACACUGGGACUGAGACACGGCCCAGACUCCUACGGGAGGCAGCAGUGGGGAAUAUUGGACAAUGGGCGAGAGCCUGAUGCAGCAAUGCCGCGUGAGUGAUGAAGGCCUUAGAGUUGUAAAGCUCUUUUACCCGGGAUGAUAAUGACGGUACCGGGAGAAUAAGCUCCGGCUAACUCCGUG
rnacentral:rRNA from 1 species